CUACGUAGGUGGCAAGCGUUGUCCGGAUUUACUGGGUGUAAAGGGCGAGUAGCCGGGCCGACAAGUCAGAUGUGAAAUCCACGGGCUUAACCCGUGAACUGCAUUUGAAACUGUUGGUCUUGAGUAUCGGAGAGGUAACCGGAAUUCCUAGUGUAGCGGUGAAAUGCGUAGAUAUUAGGAGGAACACCAGUGGCGAAGGCGGCCUACUGGGCUUUAACUGACGCUGAGGCUCGAAAGUGUGGGGAGCAAACAGGAUUAGAUACCCUGGUAGUCCACACUGUAAACGAUGAUUGCUAGGUGUGGGGGGACUGACCCCUUCCGUGCCGGAGUAAACACAAUAAGCAAUCCACCUGGGGAGUACGACCGCAAGGUUGAAACUCAAAGGAAUUGACGGGG
rnacentral:rRNA from 1 species